AUGCCACCGGGGUCCUGCAUGCCAGAGGAGCCCAAGCCAAAGGGGAAGAAGAUCGUGGCCCUGGAAAAGGACCGCCACCCACACUUGUGAUUACGCGGGCUGCGGCAAAACUUACACGAAGAGUUCUCAUCUCAAGGCACACCUGUGAACCCACACAGGCGAGAAACCUUACCACUGUGACCGGGACGGCUGUGUGUGGAAAGCUGCCCGCUCAGAUGAACUGACCAGGCACUACCGUAAACACGCCGGGCACCGCCGGUUCCAGUGCCAGAAAUGCGACCGGGCGUUUUCCAGGUCGGACCUCCUUGCCUUACACACGAAGAGGCAUUUUUAAAUCCCAAACAGUGGAUACGACCCACACUGCCAGAAGAGAAUGCAGUAUUUUUUAAGUUUUUCACACUGUCUUCCUGAUGAAGGGAAGAGCCUAGCUGAAAAGCACUACAAUCAUGGUUAAGUUCCCAACUGAGUCAACUUGUGAAUGGAUAAUCAGGAAAAAUGAGAAAUCCAAAAGACAAAAAUCAAAGAACAGGUGGGGUCUGCGACUGGAUCUUCUAUCAUCCCAAUUCUAAAUCCGACUUGAAUAUUCCUGGACUUACAAAACGCCAAGGGGGGGUCACUGGAAGUUGUGGAUAUCAGGGUAUUAAUUAGAUCCGUGAGUUGGGGGAGGGAAGACCAGAAUUCCUUUGAGUUGUGUUUUGAUGCAAAAUAAGUGUAAAAGAUCACCUUGUAUUCCCUUUGCCUUCUAAAAGCCAUUAUGAUGUUAGAAGAAAAGGAAGAAAUUCAGGUACAGAAAAUGUGUUUUAAUAGCCUAAAUGAUGGUGCUUGGUGAGUCUUGGUUCUACAGGUACCAAACGAGGAAGCCAAAGUUCUCAAACUGCUGCAUACUUUGACAAGGAAAAUCUAUUUUUGUCUUCCGAUCUACAUUUAUGACCUAAGUCAGGUAAAUACACCUGGUUUACUUCUGUAACAUUUUUAUGCAGACAGUCUGUUAUGCACUGUGGUUUCAGAUGUGCAAUAAUUUGUACAAUGGUUUAUUCCCAAGUAUGCCUUAAGCAGAACAAAUGUUUUUUCUAUAUAGUUCCUUGCCUUAAUAAAUAAUGUAAUAUAAAUUUAAGCAAAUUUCUAUUUUGUAUAUUUGUAAACUACAAAGUAAAAAAAUGAACAUUUUGUGGAGUUUGUAUUUUGCAUACCCAAGGUGAGAAUUGUUUAAAAUAAAUCUAUAAUAUUUUAUCUGAAAAAAAA